rnacentral:rRNA from 1 species
ACUCCUACGGGAGGCAGCAGUGGGGAAUAUUGGACAAUGGGGAACCCGUAGCAUCCAGCCAUGCCGCGUGUGUGAAGAAGGCCUUCGGGUUGUAAAGCACUUUCAGUGGGGAGGAAAGGUUGAUGGUUAAUACCUAUCAGCUGUGACGUUACCCACAGAAGAAGCACCGGCUAACUCCGUGCCAGCAGCCGCGGUAAUACGGAGGGUGCGAGCGUUAAUCGGAAUUACUGGGCGUAAAGCGCGUGUAGGUGGCUUGUUAAGCCAGAUGUGAAAGCCCC